UGGGUGCCACAUGCGGUGACCUACAUCACCUACAUUGCUGGGCUCUGGCGCUCUGGAAACGUCGAGGACGCGUUUUGGCAGCUGGAGAUCAUUGUCCCCAAGGGACUACAGCUGAUCGUGGUCGGCUUGAACAUACUGCUGGAUCAUGCUGCAAAGGAUCUAGAUACGUGGGUGGCCAAGGAGUUGCUGGAGCGAUGCGAAGAGCUGGGCUUUGAGGUUGAUAUUGUUCUGUGGUUGACAGUCAUGGAUCAUUUCUCAAAGAAGAUGAAGUGACUGCUUGUCAUUAGGCUGUUCACUGAUCUGCUCAAGAAGCCCAUAACACCCAAUGCACAGACAUACAAUAUACCGAUCUCAUCCCUGUGUCGAGCCAGCAACUUCCAGCUUGCCAAGACCGUGUUCAGCUGCAACGGGUUUGUGGUGGACACCGUGACCUGUAACAUUCUGAUCCACGAGUCCUACGGCACUGGAAAGGGGGAGCUCGGGUUCUUGUUCUUCGACGUUGAUGUUGGGGAGUUUGCCCCAGACGUAAUCACAUACAACACACUGGUCGAUUGCCUCUUUAGGUCUGGGAGGAGACCCGAGGCUGCCAAUCUGGUCAGGCACAUCGACGAUGGCUACCCUGCGGAUCCCCAUCUAGCAUAUCGGUUGGCUAGGAGUGGAAACGUUCGAGAGGCUUUGAGUCUGUUUGAUGACAUGCUAGCGAAAGGAGUCGCUUUAGAUGCUAAGGUUUUCACCAGUGUGAUCAAGGCAUUCUGCAAAAAAGGUCCAGUGGAGUACACAGAUAUGACAUAGCUGUGCUCUGUGCUGGAUAGUGUGCUUGGGAUUGGACGAUCCAUCUCUUGCUCCCUUCAUGAUGAGUGCCCUACUGCUACUGCUGCAAUUUGGCAGCGCCUUGCCAUCGUCCCGUCAUCUCGGUUCCAAGACCUAUGGGCAAUCCCCACACCGGUGCACCUCGACUCUUCAAUCUGGCUACAGAUCCUCCUGCCUAUUCUUUGGAAAAUCUGGGAAUCACGAAAUGCUGCUGCUUUUAGAAAUGAAAACCAUAGUCCCCGUUUAACCAUUACUAGCUAUAGGGACUUUGAUCUUCGGACUCUUUGGUUUUUGGAGUACAUGCAUCACAAGCAUCAGAUUCAGACCACGAUAGGCAGGUAG
rnacentral:rRNA from 1 species